GUGCCUGGGAUCAGAAGCCAGGCUCUGAUUGAGGUCAGAGGUCACCCCGUGGCUGGGAUGGGAACUCAUUCUGUGCCUGGGUCAGGGCUCAGGCUAUGGCUGGGAGCAGAGUUUAGUUUGUAGCUGGGAUCAGGGGUCAGUCUAUGCUUUUGACCAGGGCUCAGCUUAGUCUGGGAUCAAGGGUCAAUUUGGGCUGGUGAUGGGGGCUCAGUCUGUGACCAGGGUGAGGGGUCGACCUAUAGGUGGCCUCAGGGGUUAGUCUGCGGCUGGGGUAAGGACUUGGUGUAUGGCUGGGAUGAGGGUUCAGUGUGUGACUGGGAUCAGAGGCCAGCCUGUAGCUGGGAUUAGGGAUGAGUCCAUAGCUGGAGUAGACACGCAGACUGUGUCUGUCAAGACUUAAUCUGUAGCUCGGAUCAGGGCUCAGACUGUAGCUGAGAUUAAGGAUCAGACCAGGGCAGGGGCUGGAGUUCAACCUGGUCUGGACAGUCUCUGCCCCUGCCCCGGCCGCCCAUUUUUCCCCAGCUGUCCUGGGUCAAGUUGCUGCAGCUGAACUUUGCUUCCUCUUUGGAUCAGAGCGUUCUUGGCCAGCACCCAGCAGCUGAUUCCCCAGGGGAGAGGCCCCGUUCCCGCCAGCCACAUUCCCACGCCGGCCUGGGAGGCUGCCAGAGAGUGGCUGGGUGUCGGGGGCUGCCUCCCAGGGGACCUGCCUCUCACCCUGCCCAGCUCUGAGGACAGCACGAGAUUCCUGCAGAUGGAGCUCCUAACCUGUCGCCCUGCAGGCACUGUGUGUUUGGACAGCUGGAAGCAGAGCUCGGCCUGUGACCUGCCUGGUCCAGCAACUGGACCUUCUGGAGAGUCACAGUGAGACACACAGCCACAUCCUGUAAAUGAAGACCUCGUGGCUCAGAGAGGUCAGUAAGCCAGAGAAAAGAAAAUGCCAUUCGGAAAAUCCUAAGGAAGAGAGGAUGCAUUUCCUCGUCUCCACGUGGAAGCGGAUCACCCUAAAGGUCUUCAUCCUGGUCUUUUUCAUGCUGAGGAGGCUGGGGAGGAGAAGGAAGAGGAGGGGCUGGUCUUGCUGACCCAGGAGCAGCAGAGAAAGGAGAAAAUCCACGUGCAGGUGAGCCCAAAGUUCAAACCCGCGUUUUUCCGGGGUCGGCCGUAAUUCACGCUCCAUGAAUUUCUCCACCGACAGUGGCGAUUCCACCAUCUCCAGCACGUUCAGCUACGUGCGGCCGUCACCACCGUCCAUUCAGGACAUUUUCUUUUUUCUUUUUCGGACGGAGUCUCGUUCUGUCGCCCAGGCUGGAGUGCAGUGGCGCGAUCUCGGUUCAGUGCAAUCUCUGCCUCCCGGGUUCAAGCAAUUCUCCUGCCUCAGCCUCCCGAGUAGCCGGGAUUACAGGCACGUGCUACCACCACGCCCAGCUAAUUUUUGUAUUUCUAGUGGA
rnacentral:lncRNA from 1 species